CUCUCACCCACCACUGGUGUUUCUCUUUGAAAGUGGCGCUUGGCACCAGCAUGAACUCCCCGUCUUCAGCAGUCCCACCAGGUAUUUUUGGUCUUCAACCCAAAAUUCUAUCUUGCAAGAUCCCUGCCAGGAUACAGAUUUGAAUACCAUAGUGAAGUCUGUACAUGAGGAAGUGAUGCCUUUAGGGAGGGGAAAAAACGGUAAUAACAACCUUCAAGAGCCCCUACAUCUCAACUCGGUGUAAACAAGGCAAGAUUCUGAGAGUGGCCACCCCUGGAAGCAGAAAUCAUUCUUGUGGCUAUCCAUUGGCUCCUGAGGCUCUCAUCAGAGAUGGGGCACCUUUAGUACCAGGGAGUGGCUGUUCCCCGUAAGGUACUGGAAAUCAACUUUCAAGAGCAGCCCCAGCUGCUGAAGCUACUGCUCCUGGUGCCUCUCCUGACUGUCAUGUAGAAGAUAGCAGAGCUUUGGCGACUUUACAACAUAAGAACUGCAGAGAGGUGUAAUCCCAGUGGAAGACUGAAUCCAGAGACUCAAAAAGGAAGGUAAACACGUGGAAAAAUGAGAAUAGUGACGUCUCCUUUGUAUAUUGGAAGGAUCACCUUAGGGGAGAGGACAGGCAGAUCUCUGGAGUGUUCGCUUUGGGGUGAAUUCAUUCCUUGUGGGGGUAAAGAGUAAGAAUGGGCCCUCACCCAUGACCUCUCCAUCGCCUCAUCCUACUAGUUCUCAUAUACACUUAGAGUCACUUGGAGACUUUACAAUUUAAAAUGCUGUUGCUCAGACCCACCCUAGAUCAAUUAAAUCCAUAUCUCUGAGUGUAGGGCUUCUUUUCAAGUUGCCACCAGUAUUUAGCCAGGGCUGAAAGCCCCUGAGCUCCCCUAUGCCACAACACGAGGAGUUGCACCCCAGAAGAGAGACAGUUCUGCAUUGAAUUCCCCAAUGUCAUAGAGAAGUAGAGACGUCACAGCCUUUAGGCUUAUGUCUUAGAGGGCUUCUCAGUACUGCCUGCCAUACCUACACAAAGCAGAAUCUCCAGGAUUAAAUUUAGCCU
rnacentral:lncRNA from 1 species